rnacentral:rRNA from 1 species
UACACUCCUGCGGGAGGCAGCAGUGGGGAAUAUUGGACAAUGGGCGCAAGCCUGAUCCAGCCAUGCCGCGUGAGUGAUGAAGGCCCUAGGGUUGUAAAGCUCUUUCACCGGUGAAGAUAAUGACGGUAACCGGAGAAGAAGCCCCGGCUAACUUCGUGCCAGCAGCCGCGGUAAUACGAAGGGGGCUAGCGUUGUUCGGAUUUACUGGGCGUAAAGCGCACGUAGGCGGACUAUUAAGUCAGGGGUGAAAUCCCGGGGCUCAACCCCGGAACUGCCUUUGAUACUGGUAGUCUUGAGUUCGAGAGAGGUGAGUGGAAUUCCGAGUGUAGAGGUGAAAUUCGUAGAUAUUCGGAGAAACACCAGUGGCGAAGGCGGCUCACUGGCUCGAUACUGACGCUGAGGUGCGAAAGCGUGGGGAGCAAACAGGAUUAGAAACCCUGGUAGUCCCAUGAU